UCGGGGGGUGUCAGCAGGACAGCAGAGGGGCCCGGGCCUUUGGCUUAGAGGUGACCCCCCCAGUCCCCCAGUGCAGUGACAGUCACAGCGUCCGAAUGGUGCGAGCCCCUCGGAGGGCAUCUCCACGGAUAGGGGCCCGGGGAGUGAUCGUUUGCGGGGAGAAAGACAGGGUUAUUACGCCAGGGCUGACUGGUCCACCGAAGGGUUAAAAGAAGGUGCAAUUCAUCGAAACUAUAAAACCAGCCACUGUUGGCCGCCGUCCCAAGUCCGUCCCAGAUUCAUCAUCGCAAAGUGUUUAAUCACGCACACGUGGAAGAAAGCCAUCUAUGACAGUGAAGCAGGUUUUAGUUACUUUGUUGGGAUCCCGGGGAAGUGUCAUACAAAGUCACCACUGGGGAUGCCUGUAGUUUUCUUGGAACCGCCCUUGUUGUUGCAGAAUUGACUCGCCUUUGGAAGCAGUGUGGUCAGUUGUCAGGCUCCUAGAUCAGAGUGUGUCCCCCUAGGGGACAGUUGGCACUGUCUGGGGACGUUUUUGGUUGUCAAACCAGGGCAGGGGGGUGCUACUGACAUGUAAUGGGCAGAGACCAGGGAUGCUGCUAAACAUUCUGUAAUACACAGGGCAGCCCUCACUGCAAAGAAUUAACUGGCCCAAAAUGUCACAAGUGCAGGAUUGGAAAUCUUGGUCCGAACGAUGAAAGGUUUUCAGCUUGAUGAUGAAUCCUGUGGUCAUGCUGUCCCUGUCAUUAGUUUGGAUGACCCAACGAGAACAUAAACAUGUUAUACUCAGUGGCUUGGAGAGCAGCGUUUGUGGGUUCGUUGAGUCAUUUUCAGGGACUAUACAUAGGUGUUGGAGUAGUUGUCAUCUGCCAUUUAACCAUCAGAGUGUGUUAGGAAGGAUUUCCUGUUUUCUGACAUCAAGUAGGUUUGAUUCAUUACCCAUGGGAAAAGUGAGUGUGUGUGUGUGUGUGUGUGUGUGUGUGUAUGUAUGAUACUCACACAAAUGCACACACAAAAUACCAUGUUUAUGAAUUGAGAAUACUCUUAAAUAGAUUUAAGAGGUUAAAAAAUAUAUCUGUGUAUAUGUGCAUAUGUGUACAUGUAUACAUACAUCCAAGUAUGAUCACUACUGGCACAACAUGUAAAUACAAACACAUUCCUGAUGGUUGCUCAAAUAUAUGGAUGAGGAAUUUUAGUAAAAUUAUUUCACCUUUUCAAGUAAAAAAAAUGAAAGUGGUGUUGUUAUUAGAGUUUAUUUUGACAUUUAAUCUGAGACCACUCAUCUUGAAAUCGUAAAUGAUGCUUAGAAAGCUUAUUUUAAACAUACAAAGGUGAUAAUUGUGUUUUGUAUUUCCCCAUCAUUACGUAUUAAAUUAUGCUUUGGUAAUACUAAGUUAUUUUGGAGCAAAUUGUUAUUCCUCUCAGGCUCACUUGUUUCUUGCAGUGCUUUUCACGAUUGUUCAUUUUUGCAUAGUCUUUCGUUAACAGCUCCUUUUGUUAUCUUUCUAAUCAAGUAGCAUGCCUACACUUCUUCACGUGAAGUCUGUUUUGACGUCUUGUAGCCAGUGAUGUUUGACAAGAAUAUUCUGUGUCUGGGAUUGACCUCCGUGAGGAAUGGGUGACUAGUCUGUUCUCAGUAGAGCAUCUUCAGCUUUGAAUUUCACCCCUUUUGAAUUUUUCCUGGGGUAUGCUUUGUUUGGUUUUGGGAUGAUAUGUUUGUUCAAACUAACUUGGUUACUGCAGAGCCUUUGUUGUUGCAGUUCUUGCAGCAGCUGGAAAAGUUAUUUCAAAAAGGCAGAUUGCCGUAGCGCUCCUUCUGGCGUGUGCUCACCUUUGUGUAUGGGUGUGUCGUCAACUUUUGACGUUAAAUUUUUAAUAUUAAUAGAUUAUUUUAUGGUAGAAAAACUGAUAUAAUCAAUUUAAAAGUCUCUUUAUGAGACAGUGCAGAAUGAUUUGCAGUUUUUUGUCUGUGCCAAAUGAAAACACACGUUGAACAGAUUUGUGCCACAUGCACUUUGUCAGGGCUGGAGGGAGUGUUGUGUCUCAUCGGUUGUCUGCUAGUUACACUACAGGAUUUCCUUCUGAGAGGUUACGAGGCAGGAGGACCCAGACAGUGUGAUGUGACGCCUGUGAUACAGUGCUUCCUCUGACUUUGACUUCUGCUUUCAAUGGUGGAUGACGGAAGUUACCUACUCAUAUUAAAGGUGAACACGUAGGGCUUCCUUGCCGGUCCAGUGGUUAAGACACUGCCCUUCCACUGCAGGUGGCCUGCCUUCCAUCCCUGGUUGGGGAGCUAAGAUCCUACAUGCUGCAUGGCGUGGCAAAUAAACAAAACAGCGAACGCACUAUUUUUCAAUCCACGGUGUCAGUGCUUUGUAUAUUAGCAUCCCCACAUACAUGCCACUCAUUAAAAAACCAAUAACUCACAAAGUUCUGGCCAUUAUCUCUUAAUAGGUGGGUGCGUUAAUUCUUCCGUUGGUAAUGUGAACACCUGCACGCAGUUGUUCACACAGAUUCUAAUAAUGCUGACUCCUGAUUUAGCUUGCCCCUGGGGAGAUUGAUUUAAACAAAUCUGUGCCUGUUAACCGAGGGUGUGUCUUAACAGUUAUUAACUGGACUGAAAUUAAGCUCAUUCGCGAAAGCCUCAAAUUUUGAUAGAAUUUUUCUUUUUUUUUUUCCUCUUUCCUGAGAUUGCCAGGUUCUAAUAGGAAGGUGUGCCUCUGGUUGCCAGUUAAGCAGUAUAGUUAUGUCUUCUGUCAGGAUUACUGGUAGUGCUGUGGCUGUUUGUAUAUUACCAUCCCAAGUUUGUUUUCUAAAAGGGUGUGGCUUGAUCAAGUGUUGGAUCUAUUGGUAGAGUUUCUGAAAAAGUUCAUUGCCAUCAUAAGAGCCGAUUAUUUCAACGAUACUUUUCUUACUGGUCUACUGAUUCCUGUCAUUUCUAGCUUUUGGUUCCAUGCACUUGCAGAUUUGUUUUUUUUGAAAUAUCGUUUUCCUUGGCAAAGGAACCUUUUAGUAGCUGCCUUAUGCCUUUUUGAAAAUCAGUUGUCUUUCUGUGAGCUCUGUAUCAAUAUCUUAUUGGGUUCUAGACUACUGGUUAUAAGUAGGUUAAAGGCCUGAGAGUCAGGGUAAACAGCUACAGCUGCUGCCAUAAAAUAUGAUCUGGUUGGGUAUUGGAAACAAAAGAGUAACCAUUUUUGAUUCUUGUAUCAAAUUAUGAUGCAUUUACACUGGAUCACUUCUAUGAAAAGAUAAAAUAGAACCAGAGGACAUUUGAAAUAAUCACUAUGGAGCAGGUGCAUGAUGAGAGACUAAAGAGAUUUCACCUUGAUCUGGAAAGAAGAGGCCUCAGAGGCAAUAUAAUUGAGAGCUUUAAGUCAUGAGUGAGAUGGUGAAGGUAGGAGUCUCUAGGGAAGGCAGCAGGGCCCAGGGGUGGAGAGGUUUGGAGUUGGUAGCCACCUCUGUGCAGCCUCGAGCAUGUCACUUACUCCCCAGGGCCGUGGUUUCUCUGUUAAUGACGUGGGUAGUGGGAUUGUACCUGUACCUCAUAGUGGACUCAAUUCUAGAACACUCAAAUAAAUAUAUAGCUCUCUUAAAACUUUGUAUAUGUUUAAGGACUAAUUAAAGGAAAACAGUUCAUUAACUCAAGUUGUAUGGACUGAACAUAUAAAUAGGUUUUUAAAAGUAUAUAGAAGUAAUCUCAUUUGUUAUGAAAGGCUGGUAUGGUCUUUGAAGCCAUGAAUUCUGAAUCAUUGAGGGUAUCAAAGUUCAAAUAGGGCCUGUCCCUCCCUUUUCUUUUUUUUUUUUUUUUGGGUCUUAAAAAUACAGACUUUUCUACACAGUCUUUGUUGGAAAAAACUAGCUCAGUGGACCAAGGGUCACAGUUCUUAAUUGAAGUCUCAUUGGUGUUCAGUUAACUGUUAUUCGUAAUAUUUUCUUUCUGGUCAUCACCAUGGAGUUAAAUGUGGCAUCUCCUGUAUUACUGUCUUGUUCAUUUCCCUAGAACAUGUCUUCCUCCCCGCUCCCCAGACACAAUGCUAAACACACAGAUGCUAAAUAAGUAUUUACCCAUUGAUAGGACACUGAAAACUUAGUGAAGCAGGCUUAAAUGACUCCCUGGCCUUUCCUUUGUUGCUCUGCUGUGCGGUUAUCUGCAUUUUACAGGUGGCGGUCAGGCCAGAAGUUAAGUGCUGCUUGAGUGGUACUGCUAGGAAGUGCAGGGUUAGCAUCCUGAAGCCGGUGCUUCACCCCGGGACUCUGAACCACCCUGCACUGCUGCUGCCUCGGGCCAUCCCCAGCUGUAUCCUCAAGCACCUUGACUUGGGCUUCCUUGGUGGCUCAGCCUGUAAAGAAUCUGCCGGCAAUGCAGGAGAUGUGGGUUCGAUCCCUAGGUCAGGAAGAUCCCCUGGAGAAGGGAAUGGCAACCCACUCCAGUAUUCUUGCCUGGAGAAUUCCAUGGACAGGAGUCUGGUGGGCUACAGUCGUGGGAUCAGAAACAGUCUACAGGGUGGAGCAACUAACACUUUCACUUUCAAGUAUUGCAACAUCUCAUGCUUAAUCUACUUUGUUAAGCUUGGUGUACCAGUAAACUAAUGUAUGUAUUUACUGUUAUGCUUGCAUCCAGAAGUUGACAAGGGGUGCAUUUUAAAUCCUAUUUUGUAGUGAAGCCAUUGAACCAAAAGAAUCUUCCAAGUUCUAUGUAAUAUUGAAGGGGGAAAAAGUGGGAAAAUAGUGAUAAAUUAAGCAAAAAGCUUUGUUUCUUUCAGAGUUGAGACACAGUGGAAAUAUACUACAGACCAGUUUUUUGAAAAAAGCAUUUUUUUUUCCCCUGGGUAAUAGAAGUGACCUUUUUGUUAAGAAAUAUUUCUCUUUCUCUUUUUCUUGUUCACCCUAGGAUUGCCCCUCUUAUUUAUCAGAUAUUCAGAUAGGCAACACAUUACCUAAGAAGCCUUUUAAAAGCUUUCACUUAAAUUGGAAGAAAUCACGUUGUAACUUGCAGGCUCAGUGUGGUUUAUGAGCCUGGAUCCAGAAAUAACGUAGAAAUAUAGAAAGCCUAGGCAUGGUGGAAAUUGCGCUCGGAUACUUCUUUCUCGGCUGUACCAUCACAUCUUUUCGUGAUGCGCCAGAGGGAUUUUUGUUAGGUUGCAACCUUACCAUCCGUCCUGCAUCUGAUUUUCGGAGUCUGACAUGCAAAGUCUCACCUGCCAGGAGGCCCAUGAUACCUGUAGUGGAGGAACUACUUAGCUGAAACGGAACUGAUACACAUACAUUCUAAAAAUAAUCUCCAACAGAAAUUGAUGUAUGAUCUUUUUUCAGAUUACUUUUUUAAAAAUUUCACUUGUGAGAUUUAGUCACAAUUUUUUUUCAUAAUUUAACUUUAGUUGGUGAAACAAGCAGGCUCUUUGCAAAGUUGGUGGUGACUUUCUUGUUUUGUUUUUGUUUUACGCUUUAUAGUGGGACUAAUAAAGAUUCAUAACCUUUAGCUUGUGUUUGAGGUUUCUCAGACCUGCAGGAUGAAUUAGAAAUAAAUCAUCAGCUCUUUUUUCAUGCACUUACUGUUUGGCUUGAUAGAAAUUCCCCUUGCAGCUCUUGUCUGUUGGUCUUUUGUUGGUGUUUGCCAUUGCCACUAAGGAAUAACUGGAAAUUGAAAACGAAGUUUAACUUACUUCCUAAAAACUAAAACUUCUCAAGAAGGAGAAUAGAACUAUGAAAUAGGGUGAAAUUUAAAUAAUACAUGUGGAUCUUUUGAUUUUGCCUUAUCUUACUAUAAAGUCAAAUUCAUUUGUUUGGAAACUGAACUGUAUGUAAGCAGUAUGUAAAUGCAAAUGAUAGUAAAUAUAAUUUAAAAUUAGAUCCUAAAAUCAAAUACUUAUCGUUUGUCAAGAAGAAUUAUUAGUGAUUUACAAAUGUUAGAAAAUCAUCGUCCUCUUGAUGAUUUUUGAAUAAUAUAUCUUGGAAUUCUUUUCCUUUUCUUUUUAUAAUGUCCUUAGAAUUCUUUUUAACAUGUAUGCAGUGAUGUAUGUGUAUCUGUUAAAAAAAAGAAAGAUCUUUUCUGGAGGCCCCUAGUGGAAAUGGGCAAUAAUACAAAAGUGGACAUACGAAAUACCUGUUUGCAACUUUUUACUCUUACAUACUACAGAUUGUAAAUUUACUAUGUCAGGUUACCAUAGCAGUUUCUUAAUGCUUUCUUUUCACUUCCAUACUUACUUAAAUACCGUGUUUGAAGUAAGUCUGUCCAUAAAUUGACUUGCAUAGGACUGGUUUAAUAGAAAAGUAGGGACUCUGAAUCAGAAGAUUGGGACUUGAGUCUUGCUUUACUGUUUUAACGUGGACAGAUUUUUAAACUUCUGUAAGCUUCCAGUUCCUCAUCUGUAAAUCAGGGAUAAGAAUUCUGCUUCAUGGAAUUUUUUGAGAUUAAAUGAAAAUACAUUGAGGCAUCCGGCAUAUAUAGUAGGUGGUCAGAUCAGUAAAAUAUUAGUUCCUUUUUCUUCACUUAAUUAUCCAACAUAAAUAGAAGUAUGUGCUUGUUAAUUAUGUGAUGGUUUCCAAUAUUUUAUUGUAUUUUGAAAUGUGAAUAGGGUAGAGCUUAGGUUAUACAUGUUCAUCAGAGUUUUAAAAAUAUAUUCCAUUUUUUCCCCUGAUUAUAAAAAUAACCCAUGUUCAGUGUGGAAAAUUGGGAAGAUAUUGAAGAGUAUAUAAAGAGAAAUGACUGUCUUUAUAUAGUUCCAAAGAGAAUCACUGUUACUAUUUUGACAUAAUAUUUUGACUUGCAUCCUGCUUCCUGGAUAUGUUUGUGCACACACAUAUACACACACACCCCCACACACGUAUUUAUGUUCUUUUAUAGUUGCUUUCAUUUUGGAGGAAACCAUAGAUUAAAGCAAGCAUAGUUAGUGUUAGUCGCUCAGUCAUGUCAGACUCUCUGUGAGCCCGUGGACUGUAGCCCACCAGGCUCCUCUGUCCAUGGGAUUCUCCAGGCAAGGAUACUGGAGUGGGUUGCCAUGCCCUCCUCCAGGGGAUCUUCUCAACCCAGGGAUCCAACCCAGGUCUCCCACUUUGCAGGCGGACUCUUUACCAUCUGAGCCACCAGGGAAUGAAUGAACUUAAAGUUCUUUUUAAUGCGUAUGCAGUGGUGUGUGCAUUUCUUUUAAAUGGCCUUUCCCAGGCACCCUUAGCCUCUUUUUAAAAGAAUAAUUUGUUUUUUUGGGUGUUCUUAUCUACCUACAUGUAUUUUUUUUUUUAUUAUGGGAAAGUUCAAACAUGUGAAAACAAGAGUAGAUAAAGUGUAAUGAAUCCCUCAUGUGCUUGUCUACCAGUUUUAACAAUUACCAACUCCUGGCCAAUCUUGUUUCAUCUCUUUCCCCACCUUUCCCAUUAUAUUUUGAAAUGAUUUCCAGAUAUGUUUAAUUUCCAACAUUUCCAUAGCAGUGUUCAGUCCUUAGUUCAAACAAAAUAACCGGUGUUUUUCCUUUUUCAGACAGUGAGUGCUUAUGGCAGUGGGAUAAGAUUUAGGGAGAAUUCUACAUUCAUUCAUUUUUUAUUUUUUAGUGGCCCACCCUGACUUUUUAACCAUUUUCUUAACCAUGAUACAGAGAUAAUAGAAUUUGCUACUAGUCAUACACUCUUUGCAUAUAAUUCUUGUUAAAUAAAUGCUAGUUUAUGGAAUGAUUGGUACAGAAUUCAAAUUCUAUUGAAGAUCUUUCAUACCACUUAAAAUUGGGUGGUGAUUCCUUAAAUACUUAAGUUGAAGGAAAAGGUUGAAUGUUGUCACAUUUUAUGAGUAGCCAAAUUGUUAAUAUAAUAAAUUUUUGUCCUUACUGAUACUUUAAUUUUCCACCCCAAACCCCACCUCAGCUGUUAGGGAAAUUAUUUCAUGCUCAAAUUUACUUGCCUACACUCUUCAUAUUUUUCAAAAACUACUUUUUGAUUUUUAGGGGGAGGACUCAGCCUGUAUUCUUCAAUGUGUAUAUUUAAAAAUUGUUGUUAUAGAACAUUUCAAACAUUCAUAGAAGUAGAAUUAAAUAAAAAACUACCAAGUAGCCAGUUCAACAGUUGUCAACCUUGUUUCAUCCAUAGUCAGAUCUAC